rnacentral:rRNA from 1 species
UACGUAGGGGGCUAGCGUUGUCCGGAAUCAUUGGGCGUAAAGCGCGCGUAGGCGGCCCGGUAAGUCCGCUGUGAAAGUCAAAGGCUCAACCUUUGAAUGUCAGCGGAUACUGCCGGGCUAGAGUCCGGAAGAGGCGAGUGGAAUUCCCGGUGUAGCGGUGGAAUGCGCAGAUAUCAGGAGGAACACCAACGGCGAAGGCAGCUCGCUGGGACGGUACUGACGCUGGAGGCGCGAAAGCGUGGGGAGCGAAACAGG